rnacentral:lncRNA from 10 species
CUUGGUUAUACACAUGUGAAGCAAAGUAUGAUGCUGUGUAAUAAGAAAUAUGUAUUUGGCCUCUGGUUGUAUUCAUCUGUUCUCUCAUUGCUAUAAGGAAAUACCUGAGACUGGGUAAUUUAUACAGAAAAGAGGUUUAAUUGCUUCACAGUUCCACAGGCCGUACAGGAAGCAUGGUGACACGUUUCUGGGGAGGCCUCAGGGAACUUACAAUCAUGGCAGAAGGCAAAGCGGGAGGGAGGCAUUUUCCAUGGCAGAAGCAGGAGGAAGAAAGAGGGAGCAGGGAGGUGCUACACACUUUUAAACGACCAGAUCUCGUGAGAACUCACUCACAGCACCAAGGUGAUGGGGCUAAACCAUUCCUGAAGGAUCCACCCCCAUGAUCUAAUCACCUCUCACCAAACCCCACCUCCAACACUGGGGAUCACAAUUCCUAUGAGAUGUGGGUGGGGAUGCAGAUCCAAACCAUAUCACUGGUAUACAUUUAGUUCCUGAUGUAGAGCUCCUGAAACCCUUAUAAAUAGAUAGGGAAAUUACGUCCCUAUCUAUUUAUAUGCAUCUUUCGUUCUCAUAUUUAAUCUUUUUUUUUUUUUUUUGAGAUGCAGUCUCACUCUGUCACCCAGACUGGAGAGCAGUGGUGCAAUCCUGGCUCACUGCAACCUCUGCCUCCUGGUUCAAGCGAUUCUCCUGCCUCAGCCUCCCCAGUAGCUGAGAUUACAGGUGCCUGCCACCAUGCUCAGCUAAUUUUUGUAUUUUUAGUAGAGACGGGGUAUUGCCAUGUUGGCAAGGCUGACCUCGAACUCCUGACCUCUAGUGAUCUGCCUGCCUUGGCCUCCCAAAAUGCUGGGAUUACUGACGUGAACCACCACACCCAGCCCUGAUACUUAAUCUUUGACCCCAGUUCCUAACACAGAGCUCAUAAGAGCUCUGUAAUUUCCUGAGAGACCGGAGUGUCUGACACAGAGCUGCAAAAUCUUUUGGAAUCUGUUGGGUAAUGGGAGCUUCUUUUGUUCUAAUGAGGCGACACUUGGUGGGCUCCUCAAUAGUCUCCUGAUGCGUAGGUGGCUGGUUGCCAGGAAAAUCAUCUGAUUAGAGGCUGAAACUCUCAACCCCACCCUCUGACCUCUGGGGAAGGGAGAGAGGCUGCGGGUUGAAUUGAUCACCAAUGGUCAAUGAUGUAAUCAAUCAUGUCUACAUAACAGACAAGCUCCUGGUUGCUGAGGUGCCAGGAGGCUGGCACAUCUGGAAAGGGCAUGGAUACUCCACCCCCCUGCCUACAUGCCCUACUGUGCAUCUCUUCCUUCUGGCUGUUCAUCUGUAUCCCUUGAAAUAUCCUUUAUAAUAAAUCAGCAAAUAUAAGUAUUUGCCUAAGUUCUGUGAGCUGCCCUAGUAGAUGAACUGAGCCUGAGAAGGGGUGAUGGGAAGCCAAAGUUAGAGACAGUCAGUCAGGAGCACAGGUCACAAUCUGGCGAUUUACGUUGGCAUCUGAGGAGAGAAGCAGUAGUCUCUUGGGACUGAGCCCUUAACUUGUGGGAUCUGACACUACUGCCAGGUGGGCAGCGUCAGAACUGAACUGAACUACACAGCUGGUGUCUGCUGGAGAAUUGCUUGGUGUGUGUGUUGUGGGGGGUGCAGAAUCUCCACAUAUCUGGUAUCUGAAGUGUUGUGUUGAGUGGUGCAUCAGAGUAGGAAGAACGCCUCGGUUCUUCCCAUCUCUAAUGGCUGGUAUCUGCUGGGGAACGGAUUGGCUGCUGGUGUGGAGAAAUCCUCACGUUUUAGAGACCAUGGAGGAAGUGAUCUGGAUUAGAAUAGGAAAAACACUUUGGUUUUUUCCUAUCUCUUACAGAUCAGAGGAAGAGGAAGGGUGGUGUAUCUUCAUGAAACUACUAACCCAAACCCAGAACACAGCCAUCUCGCUACUAAAGCACCCAGGAAUUGUAGUUUUCUGUGCAACAGAGAUUGGGGAGCUAAGGCUGAGGAUUCAGGGUGAAUAACAAGUCUGGUGCUUGUCUGCAGAACAGCCAGCUGACUUUUGAAGUUGAUUCCUCCAACAUGAUGAAGCGUAUGUAGCUCAGGAAAAACGGCAGCUGGCCUUAAAUCAUAUAGCAUAAGCAAAGGGCUCUUCCCUGGACUAUGUCUCAUUUACUAUUUGAAUAAACAAAAUUCAACAACCUGAACAAUAAAUAAAAUAAAAAGGGAAUCUGCUGGAUCCACUGAAAAGUAAUGCUUACUUAUUCAAAUUUAUUAUGCCCCAUUUCCCCAUGCAUUACAUUUAAACCUCUGAUUUUUUAAAAGAAUAACAUCAUUAUUGAAAACUAAUGUUAUGCUUCAAAGCUCUAUUACUUGAACUGUUCAUAAAUGGAUUUAUGGCUACUGCUGAGUUCUGUGAAAGACUGUAUUGUAUGCCUUCUCCUUCAGUUUCACCAAGACUAUUAAUAAAGAUAUCCCUACAUCAACAUUUGCCCUCCUGCAGGGAGCUAGGUAUUCAUACCUGAAAAAAACUUUCACUUAAAUUGCUUUAAUGGGUUUUAAGUAAAACACUACUCCCAGUGAUUUAUUUUUCCCUUUGAUUGGCCAAGGAUUUGAAUUAUAGCUCACAGGGUAAAUUCAUAAAUAAUCAUGCUAACACCUUAUUUAGGAGCUAUAAUGCAAUAGGAGCUGCAGGUUUCUAUCUGCCCAUUGUUGAAGCCUCCUAAACAUUACAGAGCUGUGUAUGUAGGUGUGUAUGGAAUAAUACAUCAUCCAAUAUAUAGGCAUCUCUGUCUCUCCCACUAAAUCAGGGUCAGGAAUGAUAUCUCCUUUGUAGACUAAAUUGGAAACCAGGUAUAUUUCAGAGACUAAUAGGAGCUUCUUAGCUUUUAAAACAUGUAAUAUUAAACCACAUUGCAACAAUUUCAAUAUGUCCCCAGCAUAAGAUUUCUCAACACAAGUCACCAAGAAUGGAGGGCAUGCUAUCAUUUAAGUCACUGGACUGAAAAUAACCCAAACAUAGAGUAGAUUCUUAAUAUAACACUGUUAAAAUAACAGAAUGUCACAUACUCAAUGACAGCUCAAACCGUGAUAAUAAAGAAACCAAUCAAUCAAUAAAUGUGACUAAAAGGACCACCUUGUGCAGAAAAGAAACCAAAACCACUGUUCUUGCAGGAGGCAGAGCCAGGACAGGCUCCAAUAUUUAGGAGCUUUCUCUAUCCAACUCUGUUUACUGUCCCUAUUUUUCCCUUAUGAUUAAACUUUUCAUCUUCAUUUAAAAAAACA